GACGAUCGCGCAGCUAACCAUCAGUCGAACGGUAACAGGAAGCAGCUUGCUGCUUCGCUGACGAGUGGCGGACGGGUGAGUAAUGUCUGGGAAACUGCCUGAUGGAGGGGGAUAACUACUGGAAACGGUAGCUAAUACCGCAUAACGUCGCAAGACCAAAGAGGGGGACCUUCGGGCCUCUUGCCAUCGGAUGUGCCCAGAUGGGAUUAGCUAGUAGGUGGGGUAACGGCUCACCUAGGCGACGAUCCCUAGCUGGUCUGAGAGGAUGACCAGCCACACUGGAACUGAGACACGGUCCAGACUCCUACGGGAGGCAGCAGUGGGGAAUAUUGCACAAUGGGCGCAAGCCUGAUGCAGCCAUGCCGCGUGUAUGAAGAAGGCCUUCGGGUUGUAAAGUACUUUCAGCGGGGAGGAAGGGAGUAAAGUUAAUACCUUUGCUCAUUGACGUUACCCGCAGAAGAAGCACCGGCUAACUCCGUGCCAGCAGCCGCGGUAAUACGGAGGGUGCAAGCGUUAAUCGGAAUUACUGGGCGUAAAGCGCACGCAGGCGGUUUGUUAAGUCAGAUGUGAAAUCCCCGGGCUCAACCUGGGAACUGCAUCUGAUACUGGCAAGCUUGAGUCUCGUAGAGGGGGGUAGAAUUCCAGGUGUAGCGGUGAAAUGCGUAGAGAUCUGGAGGAAUACCGGUGGCGAAGGCGGCCCCCUGGACGAAGACUGACGC
rnacentral:rRNA from 1 species